AACGAACGCUGGCGGCAUGCCUAACACAUGCGAGUCGAACGAGACCUUCGGGUCUAGUGGCGCACGGGUGCGUAACGCGUGGGAACCUGCCCUUAGGUUCGGAAUAACUCCCCGAAAGGGGUGCUAAUACCGGAUAAUGUCUUCGGACCAAAGAUUUAUCGCCUUUGGAUGGGCCCGCGUUGGAUUAGCUAGUUGGUAGGGUAAAAGCCUACCAAGGCGACGAUCCAUAGCUGGUCUGAGAGGAUGAUCAGCCACACUGGGACUGAGACAUGGCCCAGACUCCUACGGGAGGCAGCAGUGGGGAAUAUUGGACAAUGGGCGAAAGCCUGAUCCAGCAAUGCCGCGUGAGUGAUGAAGGCCUUAGGGUUGUAAAGCUCUUUUACCCGGGAUGAUAAUGACAGUACCGGGAGAAUAAGCUCCGGCUAACUCCGUG
rnacentral:rRNA from 1 species